rnacentral:rRNA from 1 species
UACGUAGGGUGCAAGCGUUGUCCGGAAUUAUUGGGCGUAAAGAGCUCGUAGGCGGUCUGUCGCGUCGGCCGUGAAAACCUGCAGCUUAACUGUGGGCGUGCGGUCGAUACGGGCAUCACUGGAGUUCGGCAGGGGAGACUGGAAUUCCUGGUGUAGCGGUGAAAUGCGCAGAUAUCAGGAGGAACACCGGUGGCGAAGGCGGGGUCUCUGGGCCGAUACUGAC